ensembl:rRNA 5S_rRNA 5S ribosomal RNA
GCCAGCAGCUAUAUCACCCUGCAGCUCCCAGCUGUCAGCCCACUGAAGCUCAGCAGGUGUGAGCCUGGUCAGUACCUGGAUGGGAGACCUCCUGGGAAAAACUAAGGUUGCUGCUGGAA